AGUGAACGCUGGCGGUAGGCCUAACACAUGCAAGUCGAACGGCAGCACAGUAAGAGCUUGCUCUUACGGGUGGCGAGUGGCGGACGGGUGAGGAAUACAUCGGAAUCUACUUUUUCGUGGGGGAUAACGUAGGGAAACUUACGCUAAUACCGCAUACGACCUACGGGUGAAAGCAGGGGAUCUUCGGACCUUGCGCGAUUGAAUGAGCCGAUGUCGGAUUAGCUAGUUGGCGGGGUAAAGGCCCACCAAGGCGACGAUCCGUAGCUGGCCUGAGAGGAUGAUCAGCCACACUGGAACUGAGACACGGUCCAGACUCCUACGGGAGGCAGCAGUGGGAAUAUUGGACAAUGGGCGCAAGCCUGAUCCAGCCAUACCGCGUGGGUGAAGAAGGCCUUCGGGUUGUAAAGCCCUUUUGUUGGGAAAGAAAAGCAGCAGGUUAAUACCCCGCUGUUCUGACGGUACCCAAAGAAUAAGCACCGGCUAACUUCGUG
rnacentral:rRNA from 1 species